rnacentral:rRNA from 1 species
AGACAAUAGAUACCCAGGUAGUCCACGCCGUAAACUAUGGAUGCUAGCUGUUAGAGGUAUCGACCCCUCUAGUAGCGAAAGCUAACGCGUUAAGCAUCCCGCCUGUGGGGUACGGUCGCAAGACUAAAACAUAAAGGAAUUGACGGGGACCCGCACAAGCGGUGGAGCGUGUUGUUUAAUUCGAUGGUAAGCGAAGAACCUUACCCAGGCUUGACAUCCUUGGAAUUUUGGCGAAAGCCGAGAGUGCCUUCGGGAACCAAGUGACAGGUGUUGCAUGGCCGUCGUCAGCUCGUGUCGUGAGAUGUUUGGUUAAGUCCACAC